GACGAACGCUGGCGGCGUGCCUAAUACAUGCAAGUCGAGCGGAUCUUCAUUAGCUUGCUUUUGAAGAUCAGCGGCGGACGGGUGAGUAACACGUGGGCAACCUGCCUGUAAGACUGGGAUAACUUCGGGAAACCGGAGCUAAUACCGGAUAAUCCUUUUCCUCUCAUGAGGAAAAGCUGAAAGACGGUUUCGGCUGUCACUUACAGAUGGGCCCGCGGCGCAUUAGCUAGUUGGUGAGGUAACGGCUCACCAAGGCGACGAUGCGUAGCCGACCUGAGAGGGUGCUCGGCCACACUGGGACUGAGACACGGACCAGACUCCUACGGGAGGCAGCAGUAGGGAAUCUUCCGCAAUGGACGAAAGUCUGACGGAGCAACGCCGCGUGAGCGAUGAAGGCCUUCGGGUCGUAAAGCUCUGUUGUCAGGGAAGAACAAGUACCGGAGUAACUGCCGGUACCUUGACGGUACCUGACCAGAAAGCCACGGCUAACUACGUGCCAGCCGCCGCCGUAACAC
rnacentral:rRNA from 1 species